UACGUUACUUUCUUUUUUGCAUACUAUGUUGGAUACGUGUAAAUUACAUCCUUUGGAAAAACCUUAUUGAUGGUAAAUUUUGGUUUAGUGUUGCUUAUGAACGUUAUGGUUGAUUUCCUUAGCAUCCUUCUUUCCAUAUUAGGCCAAUAUUGCAAUAAUUAUUUCCAUCUCUGUUACGUAGGAGUAAUAAAAAGUGCAAACAUCAUAAAUAAGGUCGAGUUCACUCCGUCUAUUAGGCACAUACAUUGCUGGUGCUCCUUUCUUCAUAAACAAAAUUCAUCAGUUUUUUUUACGAGCAUCCGCGCGCGAUAGCGCGCGGUCCGAUUCCUAGUGUACAAAAAAAGAGUUGCUGCAUUACCGCCAAUUGAGAUAGGUGAACAAAGGCAAUCUUCUUCUUCUUUGAUAGACCUUCAGCAACAAUGGCGAACUGAAAAGGCGACUCGGUUAAUCAAAUUUCUUAUCGUAGUCAAGAAUAAGGUACAAGCCAUUAUCACCGGAGAGCAGGAAAUGAGAACAAAUUCAAACAAUUUGUACAUCAUGGAUAAUUCAAGUGGGAUAAUUUAUUUCUCUAUAUAAGAUGAUUACAACUUGUGUGAUCCAGGAACUUCUAAUUUAUGGGUUGUGUUUUGGAACGUUUAGUUGUAAACUGUCAUACUACAUUAAGGAUAAUUGUAAUAGAUAUUGAC